UCACUGUUGUGAUUUCUGUCAUUGGUCUCAUACUUAGAAGGAUGAACCCAUUCAUAGAUUACGGAACUACUUGCCUACAUUUUCUUCUAGUUCUUUUAUCAUUUUAUCUCAAAUCUGCAAUUUACUUUGGUGAUAGGUUUUAUUUCAGGAUACAAUUGUAAAAUAUUAUGUUCUAAUUUAUAUUUGUAAAACAACUAUUAGGAUGGUUAAUGACCAAUUCUGCUGUACAUUUGCAAUCAUCCUGUCUACACCAGCUAAACACUGUUAUCUACAUGUGGGCCUGGGACUCUCUGUGAUCAUUACUAUUUAAUUGCUUAAAAACCAGAGUAGGCCUGGGGGUUCACAUACAUUAAGAAUGAGGACCAUCACUGUAAUGCUGGCUGGCACGUUCAGAUUUCUUUCUUUUCUGGUUUGGAUUCGCAAACACUUGAAAGUAUACUCAUGUUUUGUUUUGCUGGAGUCCUGUGAGAGUUAGUGUAUGUGUUCCAGUCACCGGCCAAAGUCUGUAGUUGGUGAGAAAAGCUGUCCUGGGGGAAUGGUGAGAAGGAGCGGGUGAGUGACUCUCUCUCCAGACAGUACCUUUCAGCCUCUAUUCCAAGAUGCUCACAGCUGGGUAGAUUGCUGAGUCCGAUACACCUCAGAGCACAAGCUGCCCUUCCCGUGCAUUGACGGUCCCUGAAUGCCAUCAGCUGCUCAACAGGUUGCUUCGUACGUUAGAGUGAAACUUCAACUUUUCUUUUUCUUUCUUUUGCAGAGCUUCAAACGUGAGAACACAUUCCAGUUGCAGGAUCAGAGGACUUUUCCUACAGCACGUUCCUGAGAGGCCCACCCAGAGCCUCAUCAGAAAUAGCAGACACGCCUGAAAUUUGCGGUCAACACUGAGACUCAAGCUAGAACCUCGGCUGCUCUUUCCACAGAUGAUUGUGAGUGAGCAAACAGGCACUGUUAGUCUAGCUUGUGAUGCCACCAGAACCUGAGUUUCCUUUGGAUCACUGACCCAGGCCACAACAUGAGCCCUGGCCACCAUUGCCGUGUCCACUGCUGCAUCCCUAGCUCCUGGUCUGUUGCUUAGCACAUAGGAACUACUCAGCAAAUAUUGGUUGCAUGCAUAAACUAAGGUUGAGAAAGAGGGCUGAAACAAUGGAAUAAGGGAUUUAGGUUAAAUUUAGGAUUUACAAGUGAGGCAGGAGAGUUAACAAAUGCUAUAUUUUUUCUUGCCAUUGCUUUAGCACGAAAAACCUUUUUAUCUUUGUGUUUUCAACCUAGAGGAACUCCAGUCUUUAUCUGAAAGGGAAAAAUGAAUUCAGCCCCUAGGAUUAGUUCUUCAGUUUAGUGAUGCAUAGGUGAUCUUCAGGUUUCUAUUUCUUUUCUUUUCUUUUUUCUUUUUCUUUUUUUUUGAGACGGAGUCUCGCUCUGUCGCCCAGGCUGGAGUGCAGUGGCGCAAUCUCGGCUCACUGCAAGCUCCACCUCCGGGGUUCAUGCCUUUCUCCUGCCUCAGCCUCCCAAGUAGCUGGGACUACAGGCGCCCGCCACCAUACCCAGCUAAUUUUUUUUGUAUUUUUAGUAGAGACGGGGUUUCACCGUGUUAGCCAGGAUGGUCUCAAUCUCCUGACCUCGUGAUCCACCCACCUCGGCCUCCCAAAGUGCUGGGAUUACAGGCGUGAGCCACUGCACCCGGCCUCAAGUUUCUAUUUCUGUUCCUCCCUCUGUAAAGCUGAUUUCUUUCAAAGUUCCUUUCAAAUGAAAGAUCACAUUUCCCUUUAGACGUGACUCUAGGUCUCUAUAUUUAUUAUCAAGCUUAAUUAAAAAGUAACACUCCAGGCUCCUGAAGUGUUCUAGUUCCUCCUUGUAGGAAGUUUAAAUAUUUGAUUUUUCUCUCUCUAAUUCCUCCGUAUCUAAUAAGUGAGUGUUGGUCAUAACACUGCAUGCAAAUCAGGUCCCUUCCACGUGUGAAUUCUAGCUCUGGAAACAAGAGUGAAUACGUGUACUGUGGCAUAUUGUCAACCAGGUUGUCUAGAGCUUUCUAGAUAAUUCUGUACAAACUUUUUACGACGUGACAUUCAUCACUUCUGAUAUUGUCAAGAAUAGUUCAGUUUGAAUUCCUAUUACUGACUCUUUAUUCUCCCUUUUAAAGUAUAUUAAGUAAAAGACAGUUUUCAAGAUAAUCAUGACAGGAACUGCCCUCUGUAUUAAUAGCAUUUACAUGACAGUAUUUGCAUUAUUGAUAUUUUGGGUAUAUUCUAUGUAUCAAGAAUGG
rnacentral:lncRNA from 1 species